rnacentral:rRNA from 1 species
UGCGUAGGCGGGCUAAUAAGUCAGUGGUGAAAUCUCAUAGCUUAACUAUGAAACUGCCAUUGAUACUGCAGGUCUUGAGUAAGGUAGAAGUAGCUGGAAUAAGUAGUGUAGCGGUGAAAUGCAUAGAUAUUACUUAGAACACCAAUUGCGAAGGCAGGUUACUAUGUCUUAACUGACGCUGAUGGACGAAAGCGUGGGGAGCGAACAGGAUUAGAUACCCUGGUAGUCC